AAGUACUUCUUUACUAUCCCAU
rnacentral:miRNA from 2 species